AGCGAACGCUGGCGGCAGGCCUAACACAUGCAAGUCGAGCGCCCCGCAAGGGGAGCGGCAGACGGGAGAGUAACACGUGGGAACGUACCCUUCGGUUCGGAACAACCCAGGGAAACUUGGGCUAAUACCGGAUACGUCCGAAAGGAGAAAGAUUCAUCGCCGAGGGAUCGGCCCGCGUCUGAUUAGCUAGUUGGUGGGGUAACGGCCCACCAAGGCGACGAUCAGUAGCUGGUCUGAGAGGAUGAUCAGCCUCACUGGGACUGAGACACGGCCCAGACUCCUACGGGAGGCAGCAGUGGGGAAUAUUGGACAAUGGGCGCAAGCCUGAUCCAGCCAUGCCGCGUGGGUGAUGAAGGCCCUAGGGUUGUAAAGCCCUUUCGGCGGGGAAGAUAAUGACGGUACCCGCAGAAGAAGCCCCGGCUAACUUCGUGCCAGCCGCCGCCGUAA
rnacentral:rRNA from 1 species